ensembl:lncRNA
GCCGGAACUGUAAAUUAAAGUCCCUAUUAGUCAGAAGUCUGUGUUUGGCACUGCAGUCCUUGGCACACAUCUUUAUUACCUUCCCUGGUCACUGAAGAAUGUGUUACAUCAGAGAUUGCAGUGGAGCUGUAAAAGGAUGGACUGUCGAGACACUGCCAGGUGAAGAGUGUGAUGAUGGGUCGUUUGCAGAAGCUGCUGGCUGAUAACCAGAGCUCCAUGUAGAGCCAAGAGAUCUGGAUACAGAUGGGAGAAUCUGCUCUCUCGUUGCAGUUGAGCCGCAUUUUUAAGGCCACGUGGAGAGGGCUUCCGCAUCAACGCGGUGGGGCGUGUGAAGACGGCCGAGGCGGAGCAGCGGCGGAGCCCCACCUUGAGCCGAAGACCAUCGGAGCUCUUCAAUCAAAUCCAUCAGAAAACUCGUAUGGCUCUGGACUGCAAAUACACAACUAUAUUAAUUUCAGAAGACGAGCAAACAAACUACUUUUUAAAAAGAGCCGAAGGAGCUAAAGUGAAUAUAAAAU